rnacentral:tRNA from 1 species
GGGGCCUUAGCUCGGCUGGAAGAGCGCGUCGAUGGCAGCGAUGGGGUCAAGAGUUCGAUCCCCCUAGGCUCCACCA